UUCUGAGAAUAGCAAACCCGGUGCAAUCCGGGGACGCAAAACCACGGGCCCUUCUGGGGUAGCCAGGUUGCCGGA
rnacentral:ncRNA from 1 species